CGCCGCCGCCAGUGCACACGGCCGGAAGGCGCGGCCCGGCAGCUCUCUAUGGUUGCCCGCGGUGGGUAGCGCGCCGCCGCCACCGCCUCGCCUCGCCCCCGCCCGCGCUGCACGCCGGGACACGGCCGGUCCUCCCUCCUUUUCUCCCUCCCUCCUUGCCGCGCGCCCCGAGCCUGCGCCGCGCCGACAUCCGCGUUGUCCCAAGAUGGAGGCGCGGGGCUCGCGCUGAGCGCGGCCCGGCCGACACAGGAGCAGGAGCAGCAGACGCGCCCGCCCGGCCCGGCCCGCCCGCCCCGGGCGGCAGCGGCGGCGGGAGCGGCCGGGAGCAGCAGCCGAGGCGCCCAGUGGUGAAGAAUUAGGAGAAGCUGCAGUUGUUCUGCUGAGUGGAACUAAAUGGGUGGCUUCCUUCUGGACCCUCACUUCACUAUCUUAGGUACAAGAACUGUAGAAGUCCAUUUUAGAAUUUGAAAGAACAAGAUUCUGCAGCUCUGGAAAGAUAUGAAUUGUUAAGCUUAUGCUUAGCCCAGCGUGAUAGAGGACUGGUGCGACAGCUCGGUUUUGAUCAGUGACUCAAAAUUGUGAUCACCCUGAUGUCACCGAAUGGCCACAGCUUGUAAAAGAUCACCAGGAGAACCACACUCUGAGAACAUUGAAACUAGCCGAAUGAAGCGAGCAGCUGCAAAGCAUCUAAUAGAGCGCUACUACCACCAGUUAACCGAGGGCUGUGGAAAUGAAGCCUGCACGAAUGAAUUUUGUGCUUCCUGUCCAACUUUUCUCCGUAUGGAUAACAAUGCAGCAGCCAUUAAGGCCCUCGAGCUUUAUAAGAUUAAUGCAAAACUCUGUGAUCCUCAUCCCUCCAAGAAAGGAACGAGCUCAGCUUACCUAGAAAACAAUUCCAAAGGUGCCCAUAACAAUUCCUGCACUGACAGAAAAAUGAACAAGAAGGAAAUGCAAGGCCCAAGAGAUGACUUUAAAGAUGUGACCUUCCUAACAGAAGACAAGAUAUAUGAAAUUCUUGAACUAUGUCGAGAAAAAGAGGAUUAUUCCCCUUUAAUCAGGGUGAUUGGGAGAGUGUUUUCUAGUGCUGAAGCACUGGUACAGAGUUUCCGAAAAACCAAGCAGCACACCAAGGAGGAGCUCAAGUCUCUUCAAGGAAAGGAUGAAGACAAAGAUGAAGAUGAAAAGGAAAAAGCUGCCUGUUCGGCUGCUGCUAUGGAAGAGGAUUCUGGUGCAUCAUCAUCUUCGUCAUCAAGAAUAGGUGAUAACACACAGGGCGAUAAUAACCUCCAAAAACUAGGCCCAGAUGAAGUGUCUGUAGAUAUUGAAGCAGUCAGACGGGUCUAUGAUAGGUUACUUUCUAAUGAAAAAAUAGAAACUGCCUUUUUAAAUGCACUUGUGUACUUGUCACCUAAUGUGGAAUGUGACUUGACUUACCAUAAUGUGUACUCUCGGGAUCCUAACUAUCUGAAUUUGUUUAUUAUCGUUAUGGAGAAUGGCAAUCUUCAUAGCCCAGAAUAUCUGGAAAUGGCUCUACCAUUGUUUUGCAAAGCAAUGAGCAAACUACCCCUUGCAGCUCAAGCAAAACUGGUCAGAUUGUGGUCUAAGUACAGAGCAGAUCAAAUUCGGAGAAUGAUGGAAACAUUUCAGCAGCUUAUUACUUACAAAGUCAUAAGCAACGAGUUCAAUAGUCGUAACCUAGUGAAUGAUGAUGAUGCUGUUGUUGCUGCUUCAAAGUGCUUGAAAAUGGUUUACUAUGCAAAUGUAGUAGGAGGGGAUGUGGAUACAGAUCAUAAUGAAGAAGAAGAUGAAGAACCCAUCCCAGAAUCAAGUGAAUUAACUCUUCAAGAGCUGUUGGGUGAGGAAAGAAGAAAUAAAAAAGGUCCUCGAGUAGACCCACUGGAAACUGAACUUGGUGUUAAAACUAUAGAUUGCAGAAAACCACUUAUCCCUUUUGAAGAAUUUAUUAAUGAACCACUGAAUGAUGUUCUAGAAAUGGACAAAGACUACACUUUCUUCAAAGUAGAAACAGAGAAUAAAUUCUCAUUUAUGACCUGUCCCUUCAUAUUGAAUGCUGUUACCAAGAACCUGGGAUUGUAUUAUGACAAUAGGAUCCGGAUGUACAGUGAGAGACGCAUAACUGUGCUCUACAGCUUAGUUCAAGGGCAGCAGCUCAACCCCUACUUGCGGCUGAAAGUGAGGCGCGAUCACAUCAUCGACGACGCGCUUGUCCGGCUAGAGAUGAUUGCCAUGGAAAAUCCUGCAGACUUGAAGAAGCAGUUGUAUGUUGAAUUUGAAGGAGAGCAAGGGGUAGAUGAAGGAGGUGUUUCCAAAGAAUUUUUUCAACUGGUUGUGGAAGAAAUCUUCAAUCCAGAUAUCGGGAUGUUCACAUAUGAUGAGUCUACAAAACUGUUUUGGUUUAAUCCGUCCUCAUUUGAAACUGAGGGUCAGUUUACCCUGAUUGGCAUAGUACUGGGCCUGGCUAUUUACAACAACUGUAUACUGGAUGUACAUUUUCCCAUGGUUGUCUACAGGAAGCUAAUGGGCAAAAAAGGAACUUUCCGUGAUCUGGCAGACUCUCAUCCUGUUUUGUAUCAGAGUUUGAGAGACUUACUGGAGUAUGAAGGAAGUGUGGAAGAUGAUAUGAUGAUUACGUUUCAAAUAUCUCACACGGAUCUCUUUGGCAAUCCAAUGAUGCAUGAUUUAAAGGAAAAUGGUGAUAAAAUUCCUAUCACGAAUGAAAACAGAAAGGAAUUUGUCAAUCUGUAUGCUGACUAUAUACUCAAUAAAUCAGUAGAAAAGCAGUUCAAGGCCUUUCGGAGAGGAUUCCACAUGGUGACCAAUGAAUCUCCUUUGAAAUAUUUAUUUAGACCAGAGGAAAUUGAAUUACUUAUUUGUGGAAGUAGGAAUUUAGAUUUUCAAGCACUAGAAGAAACUACAGAAUAUGAUGGUGGCUAUACAAGAGACUCUCUUAUAAUUAGGGAAUUCUGGGAAAUAGUCCAUUCAUUUACAGAUGAACAGAAAAGACUAUUCUUACAGUUUACAACAGGCACAGACAGAGCCCCUGUGGGAGGACUUGGAAAGUUAAAGAUGAUCAUAGCCAAAAAUGGCCCAGAUACAGAGAGGUUACCUACAUCUCACACAUGCUUUAAUGUACUUUUGCUUCCGGAGUACUCAAGCAAAGAAAAGCUUAAAGAAAGAUUACUGAAGGCCAUCACAUAUGCCAAAGGAUUUGGCAUGCUGUAAUAAGUAUAACAAAAGGGAUUUAAAAAUGAUGGUGAUGAUGUCCCUGUCCAAAAAGGCCAUAAGAUAGUGAGCUACAGUAGUCACCUGUGUUUGUGCCUCCCUUCUUUACUGGGGACAUUGGGCUGGAACAGCAGAUUUCAGCUGCUUAUAUGAACAAAAUCUUUAUUUUUUCUUUUAGCGUGAAAGUGUUACAUAUUCUUUCACUUGUAUGUACAGAGAGGUUUUCCUGAAUAUUUAUUUUAAGGGUUAAAUCACUUUUGCUUGUGUUUAUUACUGCUUGAAGUUGAGCCUUUUUGAGUAUUUACAAGAAAACAAACUGUACUCUCCCAAGGAAAAUAUUGCCAUCAUUUGUAGACCAUGUAACCUUCAAGUAUGUGCUAUAUUUUUGUCCCUGUAUCUAAUCAAAUCAAGAACUGUACUUUUUGAAGAGUUUGCUUUUGAAACUUGAAGUCUUGAAAAACAGUGUGAUGCAAUUACUGCUGUUCUAGCCCCCAAAGAGUUUCUGUGCAAAAUCUUAAGAAUCAAUAAAGAUGGAAGGGAGAACUUGGAAUGUUAAAUUGCAGCCUUGAGAACUUUACUUUAGUCACAGCACAACAAUUAAAAUUCAUUUCACUAUAUGUUGUCUUCACAUGUCUUGUAAUAAACUGUGUUUUUAAUUAGGAAACAUUUCUUAGCAUAUGAAAGGGUAGAAAUUUUAGUUACUUUUUUAAAAAAGAAGUUUACUGGGGAAAGUGCAUUUUCAACUGAACAGCUUUAGAGUAGGGAGUGAAGUGUCUGGAAAAAUAUAGGAAGUUUUUGCUAUAAUAUAAACAAAGCAUGUGGAAGUGCACUUAAAUGAAGUUCUAUUCUUAAUUGCCUAUUAUGUUGACAUUUAAAAUAGACAAUCCAAAGUCUUCCCUACAUGUUAUGUCAUCAUCAUUUAUUUAAUGAAUCAUUUUUCCUAUCUUAUCAAGGCACAUGAUCAGUGUUGCACCAUAGUCUAAAGGGAUGGCUACUGUAUUUUAAUCUCAUCUAACAAUAAGCAAAAUUGAACAAUAUUAAACGUGAGGUCUACUUCAUGUUGUACACUUCCAACCAUUAAAUAAACUGUUAGAAAGUAAGUACUAAGGUUAUGUUCAUCUACUACAUAAAGUAUUCAGUAGGUUUUUAAUUUAACUCUACAAAUCAUAUCAGAAAUAAAUCCUUUACCUUUCUUAGUCUGUGUUUAAUGUUAAUUUCUCCUGUUGCAAUAUAUGAUGAAGGGAUUCUGCAUUUGUAAGUGCAGAUGGAACUGGCAUAUCUCUUUUCCAAUACAAGCUGCAGCGGGUGUGCAGAGCUGAGCUUGUGCCUUGACAAUUGCUAUAACUGGCUACUACCGAUCAAACCCGUGACUGUGUGGAAUUGGCAUUAAAAGGCUUAGUUUUGAAAUCAUUGGAAAAAGAAAAGAUGUCUUUCAGGACUAUUUUAAUAAAUUCUUUCUAGUAAUAGAAACAGACAACUGUUAUGUAACUAUGAUGCUGAAUAAAACAAUGACCUUUUUUCACCAUGGUUCAGUGAAAAAGAAAACAAGUUACUUUCUUACUUUGAUAAAUUAGAUAUUAAAUGGUUUGAUUAGACAUCGUUGUAGUACUGAAUAAUUUGAGGGUUGCAGGUACGGACAGCUCUCUACAAGUGAACUGUUGUGAUGUUCCCUUCUCAAAUUCAAGCCAGUGCCAGAUGGCCUGGACACACAGGACUGAAACUUACUGGGGAGGGAGAGGUGCUGUCUGUCUUCUGGCCUUUAAUCUCAGAGGCCCUUAGGUCCUGCCCUCUUGUAUGUCCACCUUGUUGUAUGUCCCAGAGGAAGAAAACACGAUACCCUACCUCUCAGUGUAGAGUGGUUGACAACAGUGCCUGCUGAGCCCUUCAAGUUUGGAGCAGCUCUUCCUGUAGGUGGUAACAACAUUUACCGAGUGCCUUAAGGUUAUUCACUGCAAGCACGAACAGAUCAUGAUACUGCUGUAUGGUAUGUACUGUGUUCACAGUCUAAUGUGUUAAGUUCUAUCCCUGUAACUCUUCUUACUCUAAUUUAGCUGUAGUUUGUGGUUGCACCCAGCUGACAGGUGUAUGUGAUUCAUGUUGGGUUUUUUUAUAUAGGUCUAAAAGCUGUGCAGACAGCAUAACUGGAUAGCAAUACAAAGUUCUCUUAACUGUUGACAUUGUAAAUAUGCUCUUUCUGUUUCCCUUUAGCAUUAAGAUUAAAAUAGUACAUAAUUGCAUUGGCCUUCAAAAGCAUUACUUGUUUUUCAAGGAAUCAUUUUCAGGUAAGACAUAAGUACUUAAUAUUUGACUAAUUUCUCAUGUAAAUAUAUACUGCCUCCCCCUGAAUACCACUGUAUUGAAACCUUAUCUCCUUAGGACUGGUAUAAGUGCACUAGUUGUUCCAGUUGAUGAGGUUUAAUAUAAAUAAAUCUUGAAGUCUUAUAGCUGCAGGCUGCAUUCCUGUCCUACAGAAGUUUCAGCCAGUGUUCUGUUUGAAGGGGAAAAUGUCAUUUUAAGUUUGGUUUGGUUUGGGGUUUUUUCCUGGACUCCUGGCACACCUGGAAUGUCUUUCACAGUGUCUAGCAUAGUUUAGGUCUAUAAAACUUGGAGUGUUUAAGUGUUCUUAUAUGUCAUGGAAAUACCUCUCUUCAGUGAGACAGAAGAUUCCUCUUCCAAGGCAGUAGUCUGAUGACAGUGUGGUGGUGUUCUCUCCACAGGGUGUCUUCAAUAUGUUGACAGGAAAAUAUUUCGGACAUCUCGGCACUGCCUCAUUUGACAAAUGAAAAAUACCUCUUCAAGUAUCUCCUUCUGCACCCUAACAGAGACUGCCUGAGUGUUUCCAACCUCUGUGCAAAGGGGCCAUGAGGCCCAGAUGUGUAUUCUACCAUCACAUGCUUCAAAAAUGAUAGUAGUGCAAGAGAAGUAAUGCCCUGGAAAGAAUCAUCUUCAUGUGGCACUGUUUCAGAUUUAAUUAGGAGUGAAGAAAUGGUUUUGUUUAGCUCUGGAGGUAGGUUAGCACAUAAUGCUGCAUAAACAGGAACAGCUGUCAGCAGUGAGCAGAGUUCAGGUAACUGGAGUAGUGUUUUGUGAACUUCUCACUGGGCUUGUCUUCCAUUUGGCGGGCAGCAGCCUGAGACAAGAUGGUAGCAGCCAAGGGGACCCCCUCCAACCCUGCAUUCUGAGGAAAGCUGAUGCUGAAAUGGGCCCAGGGCUCCAAGGAACUCCAUGUUACAGUAGUCAGUCCAUGCCUGUCAUCCAACAGUGGCUUCACUGCUGAAGCAGGAGCUUCCUGUCCCAUGUGACACCACACAGGUGUGAAGGACCUAGUGGGCUUAGGCUCCAGGGAGAUGCAGUGUGAGCUGCCCAGGUGCCUGCUUGGGUUUCUGCUCUGUGAAGCAGGGAAUUGGACACAGGUUUCCCUGCUGCUGGAUGUUUCCAGGACACAGGUUUCUAUGCUGCUGAUGUUCUGGAAGAGGACAAUCCCUAAAUCAUCAGCUUUAAGGUGUUUCCGUCACAGUUAUAGCCAGUUACCUCCAGGUAAAUUUUUAUUCCCACUUGAGGAUUAAGAAUUUCCUAGUUGCCUCAAGAGGUUUUAUGAUGAAUACGAAUUGGGUGGAAUGUUUGAGCUAUGCUUCAUUUAUUAUGCAGAAAAAUGCCAUCAUUUCAGCCUGCAAGAUGGAGCAGGAAUUUCUUCCAAGUUAAGCUAUUCAAAAUCAAGUCUUUCAUAAGAGCUGAGUUUAUUAUGCUUAGUCUGAGUCACAAGGGUUUGCGAUAAGUUACUUACAGUUCUUGUUCAUAGUUGCAAGUUUACUUAAAUUGUCAUAAAAUUCGCAAGACCAUUCGGGACUUAAUAAAAUUCAUUUUUAAAAAUUCAGAUUUAUACUGAAUCAUGGAACAGAUGCUGCUUUGAAAAUAAGAGUUGAUACUGACAUUAGUCUUUAGGUCAUUUUUUACCCAGCUGAAUUAAUUUGGAAAACCCAUGAAAUGUCAGUAUUUUUCUGUAGUGCUCCAUCUAAAGAUGUCUUCAGGUGUUGGUUUUUAUUGUUCUUCUUCAUUAACCCAGUUAAAAAGUGUGUGGGAAGGUGGUUUUAAUUGCAGAUAUACAAGUAUAGUUUUGUUCUGUUCUGCUGUAUUUGUAGGAUACAUCAGGAGAGUGAUUCUGAUAAAUAGCUGAAGUGUGCAUGUGUUCAUAGAUGUCUUGCUCAAUAUAGAUCCUGUGUUGGGAUUUCUGUGUGGAGAAGUGUCUAAGAGACAAAGGCAUUGGGGAUGCAAGUGGAGGGUGGAAAUCAUUAUUCUGUUUUAGAACAAUAAGGUUGCAUUAGGAAUUCCUACAUUAUUUUGCUGGUUAGGUUUUUGCAUAGUUUUGAGACUUAAAAAUAGAGACCAGAGCUGACUGUGAAAGUCAGCCAAUUGCUGGAGUUAGACUUGUGCCCUUUGAAGGACAGGCAGCACAGCUCAACUGCAAACAACUGCACAUGCAGGGAUCCUGCUGCUCCUGCAGCCUUGGCUCACAGCUUGGACUGACCAAUGUCCAGUGAAGAUAAAAACUGCAGAGAUUUGUGGUUCAACUGCUACAUGCAAGGCUAACAUGAAGCCUUUCUUAAUAUCACCAAAGGCUCUGGUGUAUCUGCUGUGCCACUGGGAUCGUGUACAGAGAAAAUCCUUUAAAACUCCCACUGCAACCUUCUGCUUCCAGACCUGUAUAGGACAGAGAGGGAGUAACAGUGCUCAGGAGCACGUGGCCAUGAAAUGGCAACUGGUUGAACUUCCUUGUCCCAGGCUGAGCUGCCAUACAUCAUGUGUCGCUGCCUUUGAUUUAAUGUUUCCCUUUGCAAGCACUCUGUGUUUGAGCAGCAAGGGAUAAAGAUCAGGUUGGAAACAUUAAUAGAAGAGCUGGGGGACCUUGAAGCCAAGUGCAAAUGCUGUCAUCUUGCAAAUCUUGAGGGUGAAGAGUAGCUCUCCUUUAGUCCGCCUGUGUCACCUCACUGGACAGCCUGGCCUAGGCUUGGCCCGUGAAUGUCUCAUCCUUGGUGCUAGCAGUGAUACAGACACAAGUGUGUCUUCCAAAGCCACCAACACAUGGACCUGCUCAGAGAAAGCACUAAUGCUUUUGUGGGGGCAAGGACAAUGAGCAGUUUGGUUUCUAAUAUAAAGUAGAGGUCUCAUAUUGUACAUCAAUAAAUAUUUGGCAGGAAUGAAACUCUAAAGCCGAUGCCUUGGAGUAAAGAGUUUUAAAAACACAACUGUACUUUCCCUGGGCUGUUCUGAAGAAAAAGCUGCACUGUAAAGAAAACCCCAACUCUUGGCUGUACAAAUGCAUGAGCUGUUCUGCUGUUA